AGCGGCUCCGGGUACCUGCUGAGCGGGUGGCUGGCUGCGGCGCGGGGCGCGCAGCGCGACUCGGCGUUGGGGGGCUGGGCGCGCGCGUACGAGUGGUAGGCGGUCAGCACCACGCCGCCCGAGUCCUCCACCUCCAUCGUCAGCCGCGCAUGUCUCGGCGCCGGCCCCAGAACAAAGACCGGGACCAGCAUGGACCGGCGCGCCGGGAGGCUGUCAGCAGCUGGGCGGCGCGGCCCGAGCCCUCUUCCAACUGGAGGCUUAUCCUGUGGCUGGGAACAUUUCCUGCCUGGCUGCGAGGAGUGAGACUAAGAAACCAUACCUCAGGCUGAGGAGAGAGGCCGGGUUUGAUAUGUGUGCUCUAGGGAAGAAAAGGAGAAAAUGUGACACUCUCUCAUUUAAAGCAUCCACAUCAAAAAUUGAAGAACUGGAUUACAUUGCUGUUUACUUAGUCAAGUUACAAUAAACUUGAUUUCCUUUUGGGUCAGGUAAUCCCCUUUUACAGCAAGGGAACGCUUCCCUCCCACACCCUCAGUGCGCCACUACCAGACUCUUACCUCACUCUCACAUCCCUUUCCUCCUCCCAAUCAUGAUCACAUUAACAGAUACCGUUUGCAGCUUGUCUGAAAAUUAGACUUUAUUAUUAUAAGCCAAAUGGGUGUUAUUUCCAGAAGUUACUGUUGGUGGGGGACGAUGUAGGGACUGGUUCGAGGUAGAUAAAAAGGGGCAUCAUUAGAAAUCUUGAGUCUGAAGUAUGUCCUUAUCCACAUAGGACUAAUAGCACAAAUGGAAAAACAACAUUCUUAUAGCUGAUUAAAAAGUAACCAGAAGUAUGCCUAGGAAGAGGCCCACGUGAAUGUUUUACUCACACGGACAAUGUGUUUUAUCUGCUGUCUCUUCCGUGCAUCUCUAGGAGCUAGACGAAGUGGAAAGACAAGUUAACCUAUCCCUUACUGGAGGGCAACUUGAUCAUGCUACUUAACAUCUCAGAAUCUCUGUUGCUGCAUCUGUGAAAUGGGGAAAAUAACGUUCAUCUCGUGGGAUUAAAGCAACAAGUACAUAUUAGGUUUUCAAGAAAUGGGGGUACUCUUUGCUCUUUACAUUCAACAAGAAGGGACACAUUUAUUUUCAUUGCACUUUCAGAGGUUGGGAAAACAAGUUUUUCAUCCAAAAUGCUUUUUAAAAAUGUUUUAUUAAUUAAAGGGGUGAGAUAAUAAUGACUAAAUUUGCUAACAUACUUAUGUGUUAGAUGGUGUACAUUAGCUGUUUAAACAAUUCUAUGAGGUAGGUAGUAUUAUUAUCCCAAUUUUAUGGACAAAGAAACUUACUAAGCAUGAGUGUAUGGAAAAGACACAUACAAAGAAUGCUUUAUUCUCCAAAAUUUUCAGAUAAAAAGAGGCAUCUGUUUAUUUACUGUGCUUUAUGCCAAUGCAUAAAACUAAGACAAUACCUUCUUAAAAUGUGAAGUUAAAAAACCACUGUAGGUAUUGAUAUAUAUAUCCACAAUUCUUCAUCUAAAACCUUGGGAACAGAUACAUUUCAGAAAUUAUAUCCACUUUUUAUUUUUAAAUGAUAAUUUGAUACAUGCACCAUUUAAUAUAAAAACCCUCAGCCCAGUAAAUUUGGGACAGUACUGUACAUUUAAGUGUAUUAUUUCUGCAACAAAAAAAAAAUGAAUAUUGACUUUGAGUAGGAUAAAGUCUAUAGAUAGCCUCACAUUUGUUCAGGUUAGGUUUAUCACCCAAUAAGUUUUGGCACCAAACCUCAUAAAAGCUUGUAAUUUUUAUCUUACAGAAUUUUAGAAUUACCAUAAGGAAUUAUAGUAGUGGAACUUUUUCUGCGCAUGGAACAUUCUUCUUUUAUUUUUCUAAACUACAGACUCACAAUAUGAAAUACCUGCAGGGUCUUUUCUUGUAACCAUUUUGACCAUAACACGGCCUCUAGAUGCCCCGCGUUGCAGUAACGCCCCAUCCUGCCAGCUACGGAGCCCUCCUCCUCUUGUGAAUUCACAUUGUAGACACCCUGGUUUCACUUUGGACUCCUCCCUCCAAUCGAUGAUCAAAUCUGUCAUUUCUUCCUCAAAAUGUCUGCCAACCAUUCUUUGAAUUCCUACUGCUAAUGUCUUUGCCUUCUCGUCACCAUCUCCUGACUAGGUGGCUGCAAUCCUUCCUUCACAAAGAUUACUUUCCAUCAGCUUCCUCUUAAGCCCCACCCCCUUCAAAAUGCUGUUUGGAUGAUUUUCCUAAAAUGCAGAACAUCCUCUUCUCAAAAGCCCUCGAUUGUAACUCACUUGCUGCAAAUUGAAGUCCAAACUCCUUCGUAUGGCCUCUCCUUAAUCUAUUUUGAUCACCGAGUACUUCAUCACCCCAAAGGCCCUGUGGCCCACUUACACCAGCCUGUCCUGUGAUCUUACUUUGUCUUUGCCCCUACCUAUUAUUUCUUGUCUGGAAAUCCUGAAACACUCUAUAUAUACCACUAUAAAGCCUCUCAGGUGUUCCUAAUUCAAAGCAACCUUCCUUCUGCCCUUCUGUGGAAAUUGCUCUUACUUUCAUUGUAAUAAAUAAUUUCAUUCGACCAUGUAAUUAAAGCACAGUCAGCCAAACACUGUGCUGUGUGCAUUCUCCACGGCUGCGCCCACAUCAGAUGUUGCUAACAGAUCUUAGCAUUUUUUUCCACUGAGCCCAGAUAUGGCCAUGAAAGCUACCUCAAAAUAGAACCCCAAACCAGCAAGAUAGCUUUGAGAUGAAAACUACUUGCUAACUCAAGAUUGUAUUACUAUUUUCCAAAAAAUUAGUGUCUUUUACUAAAUUGUAAGCUACUGGAAGGGCUAGGGUCAUUUUUCUCUUUAUAGCCCAGAGCCUGUAGAGUUUUGCAGAGCAGGCAUUCAAUAAGGAAUAUUUGUUGAAAGAAUGAACAUAUGAAUCAAUGAGUGAAUCAAUGAACGAGAUAAUACUCUUUAGUGCAGUAGUUUCAACCUUGCAGAGUAGGCAAGUGUAAGGGUCAAAGAGAAACUUCUUUGCCCUCGGAAGUUUCACCGAAAAAUUAACUCACAGAAAUCAGAUUAAUUGGAGAAAAGGCAUAAAAAUGUAUUUAAUGUGUAAACACAGGAUCCUUCAGAAUGAAGACCCAAAAGUAUAUGGGAAAUUGUCAAUUCUUAUGCUUAGUUUCAACACAGUAUGGAGAGCCAUGCAGAAAUAUGAUUGGACAAAAAGAAUAUUAUCUAAUGCUAAGAGACUAAGUGGAGAAACCCAGCAAAGCCUGUCUGUCUUGAUCCUUCUUGGCCUCUCUGAGCAUGCAUUUCUUCCUUCAGGGUAUGCGACAGGACUCUCUCUAGAAUGGGGGUCUUAUAAUCUGCAGUCAAACAAGUAGGUCAGAUAACUUCUUUAUGGCCAAUUUUUACACAGAACAAUGGAGGAAAAAGUGGGGUAAUGUUUUCAGGUUUUAUGGCCGUCUUUGGGGAAAAAAAGGUUCUGGUUUCUAUGACCCACCUUGAAAAAGAGAGAUUCUAGUUUCUAUGGCUAGAAGAUGAGACUGGGAGACUAGGAGCAAAAAGGUCAGGAAAAAAAAAAACAAAAACACAAAAAACAAAACUUUUGCCUUUGAGACUACCCCAAGACCCUCAUUUUGUUUUCUGAGCCCCAAUACCAAAUUGUUUUCUGAGCCCCCAUACCAAAGCAUUAUUAUAAAUGACUCAUAAGUCUCUAUGGCACUGAAACUGCAAACCAAAAAAAAGUUGACGUGUGGCUGGGCGCAGUGGCUCACGCCUGUAAUCCCAGCACUUUGGGAGGCCAAGGUGGGCAGAUCACGAGGUCAAGAGAUCGAGACCAUCCUGGCCAACAUGGUGAAACCCCAUCUGUACUAAAAAUACAAAAAUUAGCUGGGCCUGGUGAUGCGCACCUGUAGUCCCAGCUACUUGGGAGGCUGGGGCAGGAGAAUCGCUUGAACCCGGGAGGCAGAGGCUGCAGUGAGCUGAGAUGGUGUCACUGCACUCCAGCCUGGCAACAGGGCAAGAUUCUGUCAAAAAAAAAAAAAAGCUGACAUGUAUGUAAUAAUAUUUUUCAAAUAUAUCUAUAUGCUGUUGACUUAAUAAAAUACAACUCUUUUAAGCAUUCUCGAGUUUUUGGCUUUUAGAAAGAUGGUAGAAUGCAUAUAUUGGACGUUAUAGAAUAUGCUACGCAGGCUAUUUCCAUUGGGCCUCCAGAUCCACUUGCCAACCUCACUACCCUGCUUGAUACCCUGGGUGGCUCACCGUGUGGUCUGCAUCUAUGAACUCCCUUGCCUCUGGCUUCAGGGACGGUUCACUAAAGAGAGGCACCAGCAGAAGAUCUAGAGGGAGAGGGAGUAAGGUUAGGUACUGACUUCCCAGGCUUCUUUGCUAUUUUGCUGCACGUUAGAUCCUUCUACCUAUCACUCCUGACUGCAACCCUCUGCUAUGCUGCUUUCUCCAAAUUCAGGUAACUCCUACCUCUACCUGGCCCUCCUGAUCCUGGGGUGGUGACAGCUCCUGGUGCAUGUGGUACUCACUCCUUCUGCUGUUCUGCCGCAUCCCUUAUUAAGGAUUCCUUCGCUCCAGCCAUGCCUUUAUAAAUAGUCCCUUUAAUAAACUCUCUUUAUUCACCUGGGCUGAGUGCCCCAUCUCUUUCUGCCAAGACCCUGACUGAUAUGUAUCCCGCUGCCCCAGGAUGUGGGGCAGUGUCCCUCACACUAUGAGGGUCAAAUACAAAUUAUAAAUAGCCUCAUGUCAGUUCAGAUGUUUUGUCACUGAAAAAGUUCAGGCCUGAACAGGUCUUGCGGUCAAAUGAGUUAUGAAAAAGGAUUCAAAUUUGAGAGUUUCUGAAUUUCAAAAUUCAGACUUGAUAGAGUCUGUUAACAUUUUUGGCAUUCCAAACAAUGCUGGAAUCCAGUGUGCUAGGGGAUGACAGCACAGGGCUGUGACAGCUGGCCAGGCAGUGGAGUAAAUGGUGGCCCUGGAGAAGCUAAGCUUGAAACUUGCCCAACACUGGAGAGUGGACAUGUAGACAGCAUUUUCAGUUUAUUUGGAGUAAGGGCAAAGAUAGAGGGAAACUUACAGUUUCCUGUGCUGUCCUACUCUGGAUGUCAUACAGUGCCCAGCACUGAACUGGGAAUCGAGAGACUUGGAUGUCAGUACCCACUCUGCCACCAACAUGACACCCCAAGAAAGUCACUGAACUGUAGACCUGUUUUUUUCACAUGCAAAAGAAAUAAAACAGCCUACAUGUAUUGAACAUUUACCAUGUCCCUGGUUCUGUUUAAGACAUCAGAACAUCAACUCAUGAGAGGCUCACAGCAGCCUUUGAGGUGAGAUAAGUAUCACUGCUGGCAGCUCCAUGUUACAGUUGAAGAAACUGGCUGUAGUAACUUCCCAAGGCUACCCACGUCCUACGCAGGCUAGGAGGUGGCAAAGCCAGUAUUCAAACCCAGGAAAUCUGGCUCCUGAAUUUAGGUCCUUAAUUAUUAUAUUUCUCUUUUAUGAAAGGUUUGAUGAGAUUCAAAAUAUAUUCCUCUAGUAAAAUGUAAAGAAACAAGUAGGAUUUGAUUUAUGUUUCUUUAUGGUAGCUUUACAUAAACCUAUUUAGUACACUAGAGGGUAAAUAAUCACUAGCAUGUAAUGAUGAUGAUGAAAAUAAUAAGGAAGGGAGUCACAUGUAUUCUUAAGGCACUAUACUAAGGUAGUUCAAAAUUACUAAGGCAGAAUUAUUGUUUCUUAAUAUAUGUGUGUGUGUGUAUAAUUAUUGUCAUCAACUACUCUUACAAUGUGUUGAAGGAUAAUUCAGUUUUUCAUUCUGCCUUGUAAAUUUGUCAGUGGAUACAUAUAAAUAAGGCAUUAGAGAAUAGUGAAAUAUGUAAUCACAAGUGCACAAAGAUUGCACUUUCUAAAUAAACUGGAAGCAGAGUGGUAGACAAAAGAGAGUAAGACAGAGUUGAGUUUGAGCUUGAUUAUGAUUUACUAUUUACUGGCUGUGUCACCUUAAUUUCUCUCUUUUUCCAUUUCCUAAUUUGAAAAACAGAGACCAGUAAUAUCUCCUCAAAGAGUUGAUGGGAAGUUAAAAUGAGAUCACAUCUUUAAGACACCUAUCCCAGUACUAAGCAUAUGCUAGAUGUUCAGAUGUUGGUUCCCUUCUCUGUCUUUCACUCUCCCUUGUCAGCUGUCCUCUGUCUCAGCCCUUCCAGAAGUACGAUUUGAGUUCAACCCUCAAGAGUAAAGAAUCUGGACCCAGGAUUCCAAAGGUUUUUCACAACCUUUGCUGAGAGAUAAGUCACAUUCAAUUUAUGUGAUGAAACCUACCUGGGGAGGCCUCACAAACACUGGCCCCCAAGUGCCACCAGUUGCAUGGACUACGAAAUAUGGAGAUAUUCCAUUUAAACCCAUCAGGAAAGGCAAGAAAACAAAACAUUUAUGCAAAACUUUAACAUGGACAAAGGAAAAGUGCUUCUUGUGGCCUUGGCUGCUUAUCUGGCAAAAUUGCUGCUAGGAUAAUUUCAUACCAGAACAGGAAAACAGCUGCAGCCUCAUGAGUCCUUGCAGAUGCUGACUGACAUUCUCUUAGCAAGAAGGGUUGAGGGAACAUAGUCACUGGCCCUAUCUUGCAGGAAAUGAAGGCACAAUUCUUACCUACCAAAGAGAACAUGCGAAUUCUGCUUUCAGAACUCCACCUGGCAGGGUGGGGUGGCUCACGUUUAUAAUCCCAGCACUUUGCGAGGCAAGACACAGGAGGAUCGCUUGAGCCCAAGAGUUUAAGACCAGCCUGGGCAACAUAUGGAGACCCCAUCUCUACAAAAAAUUUAAAAAUUAGCUGGUGUGGUGGUGUGUACCCUUAGUCCCAGCCACACAGGAGGCUGAAGUGGGGAGAUUGCUUGAGCCUGGGAGGUUGAGGCUGCAAUGAGCCAUGAUCGCACCACUGCUCUCUAACCAGGGAGAUAGAGCAAGACCCUGUCUCAAAGAAGAGACCAACAAACAAAACAAACAAAAAACCCUUCAUCUUACAUACAUUAUCAGUGCCCUCAAGUCCUCUGGAAAGACUGGUUUAAAUUAGAGGGAAUGAAUACAAAGUUGCAUUUAUUUUAUAUAAAGAGAAAAUAAUGAGACAAAUAUUUUAAAAGGUAGUGUGUAAAUCUUUCAUCAUCAAGUCAGUUGGUAAAUCUUGAUCUGCUACUCUGAAAUAUUUUUCAAAAUGUAUUGGCACUACUUGAGUUAAAUUUAUUUUCUGGGUGCUCUCAUGAUGACACAGAAUUUCUAGACUACUCUGAUUUUCCUAUUGCUUUCUUAGUAUCUAUUUUUAAAGAGAAAUCAGGGCUUAUUUUUCUUCAUUAACUGUUUUGGGAUCUUUGAUCAAUUUGGUAAUUGGGUUAAGUAGAUUAUGUCACCACGAGAGCCAGCCAGCCAGGUCAAGACUUGUGUUAUUUAUGUGGUAGACAUAACUGAAUUACUUAAGUGACUUCUACAGAUAAAUUGAAUCAUUAUUGAUUGGAAAUGAAUCACUACUAAUAGACCCAGGCAGGGUAGAGGAAAGGAACAGACCAGCCAUAGCAUAAAGUUUUAGUCAAAAAGUACUUACAAUAUGGAAUAUUUCCUGCAAUACCAUGUUUUUACAAUUACAUAAAGGCUUUAUUCAUUCAUUCAUUCACUCUUCCAUGUAUCCAUCCAUCUAUCCAUCCACCCACGCAUCUACCCCAAGAACUUACAAUUAUCACUCAUACCUACAAUGCCAAGCACCAAGAAUAUGAAGAUGAAUAGGAACAUGAAAGCACAGACUAACUGGGUCUCUGCAAGCGGGGAAGAGAUUGGUGUAGGAGGUCAUCAAAUAACACACUUCCCCAGGAGGUUAUGUUAGAGAUGCUCUUAAAAGAUGAAUGACACUUGGCUAGCUCACAAGUAGGUGUGUGUGGCUGAGGCUAUGUAAGGAAGGGCAUUCCAGAGGCAGGUAACAGAUGGAAACAAGGCACAGGGAAAAAAAGACAGUGAAGUAUGUACAGGGAAACCCUUUUAGUUUAGCUUUGCUAGAGAGUAAAGUGUAAGGGAGAAAACCCUGGAGACAAAGCUGGAGACAGGCAGAGGCCAGGCCCUGGUGCAUCUGAAUGCCUUGUGAGGAGUUUAAACUUUAUCCAAGAGUUCAGAUGGGGAAUCCACUGAUGGUGUCAAACAAGGUAGCACCAGAAUCAGCUUAUGCUUUUAGGCAUCCUCCUGGGCUCUGCACCACCUGGUCUUCACUCAGCUCUUCUGACCUACAUCUCCUAGGCCUCCCAACCUUUUUGGGAGAAGAGUGUACACUAGAGUCUGAGGCAGAAGAAAACCAACUAUAAAUGGUCACAUGCUAAGUCCCAAAUUGAAUCCUAAGACAAAGUCCAAGAUGAGAUAAAUGGAAUUUAAAUAGCUAUUGAAAAGACGUUUAGCUUAAAGAAUUACACAGGUGUCUUGGAGGGGAAGCUCGGGAAAGGACCCUGACAAUCCCCUCUCUGUCACUAGCUCGUGAUUACAGAUCAGCUGCCUGCUUUGUUCUGGUUCACCUGGGGAGGGACAGACCACCUGACCUGGCAAGUGAUGGGGUGAGCACAGUAGGAGACAGUGAAGGAAGUAGAAGACAGUGAGAGGCUUUGGGACAUGCAGUAUGCAGGUCUGCCAACAAAGAGGGAAGGUUUAUUAUGAUCAUUCUUGGAUUGGAAACCAAAGAAACAAUUCUGAUUAACCAAAACAAAGAACAAUGUUUUACAAAGAUCUGAGAAACAGCACAGGAUUGAAGAUCAAAACUGAAAGACAACUCUUGGAGCAGGAAUGAGAACACAAUCUUGCCAGGGUGCUUCUUACAAAAUUAACAAAUUUUAACUUUUUCUUCUAUCCUUGCUUCCCUCUUCUCAGGAAACAGGGUACCAGAAUUGCAUCAGAUUGGCUGUGGUUAAGCCUCCACUUGGCAGUCACUGAGUCUUAAGAGAUGUGGUCUUCAGGGACUGCCUUCCCUGCUGUUAAUGAUAAGACAGGCCCCAAGAUCACAUACCAUGAGGGAGAAAGUCCCUAAGUUGAUACCUUGGAGAUUUCAGGUAGCAGGAAUAGAAGCCAACACAUUAACAGUAUUUACUAGAGCAGGAUUUGGUGAAGCCUCAGGGAGGCAGGGCUCACCUGGAAGCACUGAAAAAAGGCAUAAUCAGGACACAGAUGGUAAAGAUUUCCAAGAUCUGGAAAGGGAAGAGGUUCUUGCAGAGGGUGAGAUGAAGUGAUGCACAGGGAAAGAAUGCACCUGCCCAUUUUGCAGUUGUGCCUCCACAUGGCCCUGAAUAAGGAGGGGGUAACUGCCUGACAAAGUUGAUAAAUCAAACAAACCUGGGAUUUUUGUGAUAAGAAUAGGAAGCUUCAAAUCCACAUCGGCUAACUCAGGCCUCAAAUGUGGCUGACUGCAUCAUUCAAGAAGACAUACAUGACCUGAACUGAGUCACCUGGAUCUGAAGAUGUCAAAAGUAUAAUUUGAAAGUAAGCUUAUACAAGGGGUGGUUAAAAUGGUGAAAGGCAGGGUUUGGAGCAAGACAGAUAUAGGAGUUGUGCUAUGUUUGACUGUGAGCAGUUACUUAAUCUCUCUGGGACCUGAUUUUUCUCAUCUGUAAAAUGAGAUGGUAAUACCUAUCACACAAAGUUGUUGGCCACGAUUUGAAAAGGAUAAGUUGUAAAACUGCUGUGUACAUAAUGCUAAACAAACAUAAGUUCUUUUUAUUAUGCUAUGCAUACAUGAAAUUGUUAUUUUACCUUCUACUUUGUUAGCAAUACCUAUUAGAGGAGAUUCCAGGGGAAUUCAAGAAAUUCUAGUCACCAUUAGUCAGCCAGUAAAUAUUUUUUAGUACACUCCAAAGACUAUAAAUAUUUCUACAGAAAAGGUCAUGACUGUGUUAACAUAAGUCAUAUUUUGAAACUAGGCAGAAUUAGGUAGAUAAUCAGAAAAUGGAUGUUUGUCAGUUGAAACAUUAUUCAGGGAUGUACCUAGUUAUUACUGAUUAUCGUUCGGCUCAAAAAAGUAUUGGAAAGCCUGAAUGUCUCAGUGUCACCAGGUCAGGACAUUGGCAUGGUCCUGAAGAGGACAUCUCCUCUCACAGCACCGGCAUUCCAGAUGAGGCAUUUAUGGGUGGGGUCUGAGCAGGCUACAGGCACACUCAGUAUAGCUUCUGCUACAUAGUAGGCUUAAAUAACCACUUCAUGAAUGAAGGAGCCCUCUCCCACUUAAUCCUCUGUUUCUACCUCUGUAAAAUGUAACUACAGUACUGUAGUUACUACAAAAUGAAACUAUAGGACUGACACUAGAAAAUGGAAGUACAGGACUGAUACCUUACUGUGGCUUUCUCAAAAUGUAUGAGAACUCAAAAAUCAUAGGACAGCAUGCCAAUGGGCCUCAAAACUUGAUUAUGUGAUGAUGUGUAAAUUGUGCCCAUGGAGUUGUGCAAUGUAGCCAGUUGGAAUGGUUUUGAAGACAGGAGUGUAAGGUGAAAUUAGACAGUUGCUGUAGUAAUAAAACUUCUGUUGCAGGGAGAGGACAAUUCUGAUCACUGCUCUGGCACCUGCUAGCCAAGAGAUCAUAGACUACUUUUGUCUGUUUGUAAUCCCUUCCUUUGGGGAAUCCAUACUAAAGCAAUUUAACCUCUGAGUGAGUCGGAAUAAUAUGAUAUUGGGAAAUACAAAAAGGAAGCAUGUGAAUAAACUUGGUAACGUUAUUUCACUGCAUUUGUAUCCCCAGAGUCCAUAAUAGUGUCUGCCAUAUGUGCUCUCAAGAAAUGUAUAAUGUAUAAACUCAUGUUUAACGUGUAAAUCAAUCAAUCAAUCAAUGAGUGGAGAGCUGCAUAUAGUAUCCUCCCCACCCCCUAGUACUGUAGUUUUAUAGUUAGGGAAGUAAUUACGGUAGUUUUUCCAUUCAAUGACUGCAGCCAAAUGACUCUCCUCAGGAAUGCCCCAGCAUUGAGCACAUUCCUCUUUGCCAGGGGACCUGGAGGUGAAAACCAGAAAAGGAGAGGGAAGUAGCUAGUUUGUCCUGUGUCUGUAGAAGAUAAUAGAUUCAAAAGAAUGGGGCAGGUGCAGAAAUAAAAAAAAUUAUGAAAGAAGUAGACUCUAAAUGUCUGAAGUUGCCUAGGUAAAUUGUUACCAAAUUACCUUUUGAUUUAUAUUUCAUUUGGAUCAGAUUUGGGAUCUGUAGAUAACAGGUAUUCAUAUAAUUUAGGAAAUGUACCAUUUUAUACCAUUGGCCAUUGAAAUAAAUUCAGAACAAAAGAUUUUAAAUUAUUUGAAGCACUGUGGUAAAGGGUGUAAUAAUUCUUUCUCAAGUAUCUCAUCAUCUUAGGCCUCUUUUCAGUCACUUCUAGAGAAUUUUUUAAAAACAGCCAAGCCUCAAGUGAUCAUUUAAUCCUACAUAUGAUGGUGAAAGAGAGAGACACAAUCAAGUCAUCAGGUCCAAACUAUGAUUCAUUAUUUCUUUGUAUAAAGGAACAAAAGUGUUACUUGUUUUUAGGGAACAAACUAUCAUAAUUCUUAGUAUCCAACUUUCAUUCCAAAUCCUCAAAGCUGUUUGUAAACAUAAACUCAUUUAUUCCCACCUACCAAGCACCACUCAGAAGGAAUUCUGAUGGCAUGAAGUUGUGAAAUAAUUACAAAUAUUGCAAUCAUAACUAUUUACUGAGGAUCCACCAUGAUAAGUAUUGUAUCAUUUACUCCUUACAUUGGAGGCUCAGAGAUGUUAAGUUACUUGUCCAGGUUCACAGUAUUAGUCUAGAGGAUUAAGAGGCAUCCUGGAGUAGUUAAGUCCCUAGACUCUGGUGCCAGACUACCUGGAUUGAAUCCCACCUAUAUCUCUUUUUAGGUCUGUGACCUUGGGCAAGCUAACAUCUCUGGGCUUCUGUUUCCCCUAUGCAAAGUGGAGAGGAUGGUAAGAGGAUGGCAAAAAUGGGACCUACCUCAUAGGGCUGUUGUGAGGACUAGAUGAGUCAGGUGCUUAGAACAAUACAGUGGCACCUAAAAGUGUCACGUAAGUGCUAGCUAUUGGUAUUAUUCUUGUGGUUGCAAGUAAUGAGAAUGCAACUCACACUAGCUUAAGCAGCAAAAGAAGAGGUGGCGGCGGUAUUUGCUUCAGACAUGCUUUACAACAGAGGCUCCAAUAAUGCUCUUAGGAGCCUCCCCAAUAUCUCAGCCUUAUUUCCCCUUGGCUUCCAGAUAUAUCAGACAGGCUGUGUAGUCACAAGGUGGCCACCUGCAGCCCCAGGGAUCCACUGUAUUUACAAAGAAAGAAAAAGUUCUUGUUACGAAGAUAUGGCACAGGUCCCAGGGAAGUGGCCUAGCUUGGGUCUCAUACCCAUUCCUGAACCCAGGCCAUAGGCCAGGCCAGGUCUGGGUCAUGUGAUAAGCUCUGAGACAGAAGGGCUGGGUUUGCCCAAUCCAAACCACAUGGCCUGAGGGCAGUACCUGUAUAAAGGCUCUCAGAGUGAUGCCCCAAAAAGGAGGGAUCAGGUAAAGACCAAACAUAUACGUAGUCUCAUGGCUAGCAGGUGACAGAGCAGAAAUAGGAAUUGUCCUCUCCCUCCAACAGAAGUUGUAUUACUACAACAACUGGCCAAUUUAGCCUUACACUCCUGACAUCAAAGUCAUUCUAACCAGGCUGCACUGCACAAAUCCAUGGGCAUAAUUUACACAGUAUCACAUUCUCUGGUUUUGAGCCGCAUUGGCACUGCUCUCCUGUAACUUUUGAGUCCUCACACUUUUUGAGAAAGCCAUAGUGAGGUAUCAGUCCUGUAGUUUCAUUUUCUAGUAACUACAGGACUGUAGAUACAUUUUACAUUUACAGAUGUAGAAAUUGGUAGAGUUGUCACAGGUGGAAUGGAGAAAUGGCUAAACCUUUGAUAUUCAGAUUUUGACUUCUGAGAUAAGCUCUUGAAGAACAUUCCAGAAACAUUAGUCAAGAAAAUUGGGCUUUCAAUAACCAGAGCUCAGCACUUGAGAUUUUCUAAAUUCUAAAAACUUCCCAUUAAGCCAGGCACUAUGGUAGGCAUUUGUAGUCCCAGAUACUCAGGAGGCUGAGGUGGGAGGAUCUUUUGAGCCCAGUAGUUCAAGGCCAACCUGGGCAACAUAGCCAGACCCCAUCUCAAAAAAAAAAAAAGCAAAAACAAAACAAAACAAAAAACCCCCCAAAAACCUUCCCAUUAACAUCUAGAAGCAAAGUUCAGAAGACUGAAUGUGGAGGCUUUUUAUCCACCAUGAGAAAGACUUCAGACAGUGAUGUCGAGAUCGCACCACUGCACUCCAGCUUAGGUGACAGAGCAAGACUCUGUCUCAAAAAAACAAACAAACAAACAAACAAACAAAAAACCAGACAGUGAUGUAAAGAGAAGGACAUUGUUGCUGCCACACAGAGGAAGUCUUGGAGAGAUGGCAAAGAGAGGAGUAAAGGAUACUUUGGGGGUCUGUCUUAGAGGAAGAGGAGCUGUCAAAUCUGCCCUUUCCUGGGUUUUAGGGUAAUAUGAGCAAUAGGUUUGAGGGCCUGAGGCUGGAGAAGCUUAUGUGCCAUCCCCAUCUGAAACUCUGGGAUGAGGCAGCCCUGCAGAGACCCUAAGAUGGCCUGUACCUCCUGGAAUCCUUCAUAAAUGCACAGACGGGAUCCAGAAUUUCCCAGGGCCCCCAGCAAGAACUGAAUGACAAACUCUCUGAGGAAUCACUAUUGUCCAAGAUGAAAUGACUUUGUGGCUGAGGGUCUCAGGAUUUCAUUGCCCAGGCCAGGAGUCAAAGAGUAGUUCUAGGCAGGCCAAGGGAGAUCCCUAGUGGGGACUCUAAUGAGCAGUGGGAAAUGCUGGAGUUCCUGAGGGGCACUGCUUAUGCUAAUAGAGGGAACAAGUAGCUCCACCAGCAGUGGGGGCAGUGUGGACAGAGCCCCCCAACCCCACCAAAGCUAAAGCAGAUGAGCAAAGGCUGGAGGACGGCAUCAUCCUUCGCAAUGUCACAUAAUGUACCCUGUGCCCAGGUACAACCUCAGGAGAUCGAGCAGAAGACAAGAAGCCACCACAGGGGAGAACAACUAUGAUAGAAACUUGGAACUUUGAUGAGCUUAAAUGCAAACUGAAUGAGUUCCUGAAAAAGCCUGCUUUAAAUCGGAGGAGACUGAGCAUCUUUGAGUGAUAGUCAUAGAGCUAAGUUGAGUUCAAGGAUAGAUGAAUACAGCUAUACUUUUUAUACAUCUGAUUUGUGACUAUAUUAGAAAGGUAAAACCUAUUAGAUGAAGAUGAAUAAGAUACAUAAAAUAAGAUAAAUUUAAAAAUAUGAUAAAAUCUAGCAGUGUGUUAUAAGGUGAGGCCAUGGAAGCCAGAAGUUUCUAUCUUAACAAAUUUUGCAUAUAAUUGGUAUUGACAUGUUAAUGAAUAAAUACAUUUCAUGCUUAUAAAUUGGGCCUAUGGGGCUAAAAUGAGAGUAGAUGAAGGCUAGGGCCAGAGGUGCUAACGUCCUACUUCAGAAAUGUGAUGCCAAUGGAGAAAAACAGAGUAGAGUGGGAUGAAAGCCCGGAAAAGGGCAAUCUAAUUAAGUGGAGAAUGAGGCUUUAUGAAAAGAAAUAUCAAGAUGAUAAAUCAAUCAAGAAAUGCAAAUUUUAACGGGGUACAGAUUGAACUCUAUCAGUUAAAAUAUAUAUUAAAAGAGUCAUCAGCCAUUAUUCAAUCCCACUCAAAAAAAAUUAAGAAGUGAGCUGGAGGACUCAGAGGUUUGAUUCAUUGUGCCAAUUUUUUUUUUGACCGAAUAAAACCCACGUGAUUUCAGAAGUGGCACAAUCCCAGGUAUUUGUGUGUAUUGUAUGUGCUACAGGGGUGGGCAGGGUUUGUGUUUACUGGUGUUGCCCAAGAAAUGUCCCAGCAAUAGGGCAUCUGUUUUCAGAACAGACACCAGUCAAGAUAAGGUUUUCUCCAAAACAUUUUAAAACAAGAUACUGAGAGAACCCAGAUGAAGUGGUGGAAGAGUACCCAUUCCCCAGUGAAACCACAGUAUAGGGGAACUGUCCACAUGGAGCAUUCAUAGAAAAGACUCAAAGAGCUACAAACUGACACAGCCUCCCCUUGGACGGACAAGGCUCAGGACUCAGAGUAGGCUUUGGGCAAAUGUUUAAGAAACGGAUUAAUUUUGUACCAGAGACUUUGACCCAAGAAGCAGACAUCUCAGGACAGAGCAGAUUUUGAGUUAUGGCAGCAAUGUGUGGCAUGCAGCAGAAAAAGUGGCUGGAGCCAGCAAUGAAUCACAAUGGAUAAAGCACUGUCAUCAGUUCCUCAGUGAGGAAGAAACAGAUACCUGCAUAAAACAUUCUCUGCCUCCUUUAUAGUUAAUUUUCCAUGUACUAAAUCAUAUGGAGAUCUUAUUAUAGAGUGUGGAUUUAGUCAUCCUCAAUAAAUGCUUUUGAUGCUUCCAUAAACAUCCAAGUUAAAUAUCCCUCUUUGCAUGUAUUCUGACUGGUUAUUAAAAUCAGGUGUCUGGUAAAGAAGCACUUGCAGGAUUCUUCUCUUUUUGAUGAGUACACUAAAUGGGCUAUAUUUAUUUAUGCCUCUAACGCUCCCAUUCCCUAUCAUCUUUCCAAGUGUGCAAUCUCACAGUGGUUCUGAAUCUCCUGUGUACCUAGGCUGGGGAUGUGGCUUCCUCCGUGUACUGCUCCUGUACAAGUCAUCAUAGAAGUUCCCCAUAGUUGUGCCAGUACUGUGCUGAAGGUGGGUUGUACAGGCUCUGAAGGGCUGUUUGUUUUGUUUUCACUCUUAGAGAGGACAUUUAUCUCUUUAUUGAAGAAAUAUGUACUUUCUGGACUCUGCCUAUUGGCCCUUGUUGCUUUUCAUAAUUUAAAGAGAGCUUGGCUUCAAGACUGCUACAGAAAAGAGAAAGCAGUAAUAAUCAAUUUAUUUUUUUACAGUUGAGUGUUUUUAAGGAUGAAUAUGCACAUAUCACAUUAUCUGUGCUAAUCAAGAAAAUCAGUGUGUUGAUCCAAAACUUACUAGCUGUGGCUUUGAAAUUAUUUUCACACAUUUGAAAAAAGAUUGAAGUUUGUGAUGUUUACAAGAAAAUAAUACCUUUUUUUCUUUUUACUUUUUAAGAGAACAAUAUAGCUCACUGGUUAAGGGCACAGAUGGAAGAACCAGAGUACCUGUAUUUAAAACCCCAAACUGCAGCCUACUAGCUCUAUUAGUUGUUUAGAUAACCUCUCUGUACUUCAGUUUCUUGACCUGUGAAAUGAGCAUAAUAAUUGAAUCUAUUGCAUUGAGUUGUUGUGAUAAUUAGGCUGGUUGAUAUAUCUGAAGCAUUUAAAACAGUGCUUGGCACACAGUGAGUGCUGUAUAAGGUUUGACAUUUUAAUCACUACCAUAUUACCACCACUGCCACCAUCACUACAAUUGCUGCUGCUGCACCUGCACAAUGUAGUGAAUUCAACUGACCUAGAGUUAGUAAAAGUAAACAGUGAAAAAAAUCCUGACCUUAGAUUCACUCUGGUGCAGAAAAAAUUAACUUACCAGAGAUCAUACAACUUCCAUGUUAAAAUUGAAAGCAGACGUUACAUCUCCUGUAAAUAUAUUCUAUUGUUAAGUUGAAUGGCUUCUUUCUGAGCUAUUGUACUUGAAUACAUAUCUUAGUUAAUUAAGCAGUCAUCAAUUUCCAGAUGCUAUAUGGGUCUUUUAUGAAAAAGAAUGCUUUUCUUGGCUGAGCACAGGGGCCUGUAAUCCCAGCGCUGUGGGAGUCCAAGGCAGGAGGAUUGCUUGAGGCCAGUUCAAGACUAGCCUGGGCAACAUAGACCCUGUCUGUAAAAAAAAAAGUCAGCCAAGCCUGGUGGUGCAUGCCUGUAGUUGCAGCUACUUGGGAGGGCAAGGCAAGAGGAUGUCUUGAGCCCAGGAGUUUGAGGCUCCAGUGAGCUAUGAUUGUGCCAGUGGACUCCAGCCUGGGUGAUACAGUCCCUGUCUCUUAAAAAAAAUAAAAAGAAGAAGAAGAAAGAAUAUUUUUCUCCUGCUACAGGUGUAUUGUCCAACAUGGCAGCCACUAGGCACAUGUGUCUAUUGAGCAUUUGACGCAUAACUAGUGCAUACUGAGAUAUGCCGUUAAGUAUAAAAGCACAUGCCAGAUUUGAAAGAUUUCAUUUGAAAAUAACAUAAAAAUGCACCAUUAAAAUUUUUCCAUUGGUUACAAGUUUAA
rnacentral:lncRNA from 1 species